UCACUUUCUUUGUAAACCCAAAACUACACACAACCUUUCUCUCUCUUUUACACAAACCUAAGCUAUAAACCAGAUCAACCUUACCUCUCUCCACUUCUUACUACUGUGAAGUUUGAGUUUGUGGUGUGCAAGAUAUGAAGGAUUUUACCAUUUAAAGAGAUCAACUUGUUAGGUAUAUGGAGAAGAAAGAGAUGGCUGUGAAAACUGAGGAUGCGGUUGGGUCCUCUUCUUUCCCUUGUUAUAAUUAUUCAAACCUUUAUCCAUUCUCGAACGCGUUUGAUUUCUCUGAGGUUGAAAAGAGCUCUUUAGGGUUUAUGGAGUUACUGGGUGUGCAGGACUAUAGUCCUCUGCUUGAGUUGCCUCAACUUUCAACUGUGUCCGUGCAAUCUCAUCAUCACUCUACAGUUACGGUUCCUUCUGAUAACGGGAAAGAGUGUUCUGAGGUGUUGAACCACCAGCCUGCCACUCCAAACUCUUCUUCCAUUUCAUCCGCGUCCACUGAUGCAGUCAAUGAUGAACAGAAGAAGACUCUAGACCAAGCAGAAGAAGAUGAUGAUGAUGAUGAUGAAGGACAACACAAGACUAAGAAACAGUUGAAGCCCAAGAAGACAAAUCAGAAGAGACAGAGAGAACCAAGAUUCGCGUUCAUGACGAAAAGCGAGGUCGAUCAUCUGGAAGAUGGGUACAGAUGGAGAAAGUACGGUCAAAAGGCCGUGAAAAAUAGCCCCUUUCCCAGGAGCUACUAUCGUUGCACCAGUGUUUCAUGUAAUGUGAAGAAACGUGUGGAGAGAUCUUUCACUGAUCCAAGCGUUGUAGUGACAACCUAUGAAGGCCAACACACACAUCCCAGCCCAGUUAUGCCUCGCUCAGUUGUCUCUUCUGGAUACGCCAACAACUUUGCUUCAGUUUUGCCACUAGGAAACUACUUAUCCCAGUAUCAGCAGCAGCACCAUCACCACCAACAACAAAAGCUACUUGUCAACACAUUGUCCUCUUUGGGUUUUCCUUACAAUGAUUCUUCAUCUCCAAAGAACGCUGUUUUUAUUCAAGAGAGACGGCUUUGUAGUAAUCAAGGGACGAAUGCGUUUCUGAGGGACCAUGGACUUCUUCAAGAUGUUGUUCCUUCACACAUGUUGAAAGAAGAGUAGAGCUGAUAUAACUCCAUAGUUAGUAGUCAACAUGCUUCUAUGUGGUUUAUUUUUUUGCUGACUUUUUCCUAUGGGAUAAUUAGGAAUGUGCAUUGAUUUCACAGAUGUACAGCAGUGAAGAUUGUUAGGUUAAGGAUUUUAAACGGGAAGAAUUGGUGUGGAAACUUGCUGCUUUGUUUUGUUCCCGGAAGUCGACCGAAACUAAUUAUAGAAAAAUAUUUUUCAAAUUAGGAUGAUAUGGUGCUAAAAGUCUUGUCCCAAUAUGGACACGAGGAUAUAAAUGGGAAGAGUAAUUCAACCAUUCUGAUCCCUCUUUUGAGGUGAAUGAGUAAAUGCCUCUGUGUAUCCUGCACGCGAUGCAAUCCAUUCAUGGAUUGGAUAGUGGUGGAGAAGGGGAGAAUUAAAGAAGAACAAAUACAAAAGGAGAAAUUUUUAUACAUACAAGCUAAGCAUAUAUCGAGUGUGAUAUGGUCACUAUGAUGGAAUAGAUUUUGAUAACGACACAUGUUAGUUUUUAUUUAUGAAGGUAUCAAGAUAGGUCGUGUUUGUUUACAAGUUUUGUUUUAUUGAGCAGUUGAAGGAGGUUCUCACAGUGAAGAAUUAUUGAAGUUUUUGAGAUAUUUAUAUAGCCGUUCACGGAUAGGCAUAGGCUAACAUAUUGUGAGAUGUUAUAUACGACACGCCACCGUCAAAGAAAUUACUGGGACCAGCUCCCUUUUCUCUCGUA